rnacentral:rRNA from 1 species
UACGUAGGGGGCUAGCGUUAUCCGGAAUUACUGGGCGGGGGGGUAAAGGGUGCGUAGGUGGUUUCUUAAGUCAGAGGUGAAAGGCUACGGCUCAACCGUAGUAAGCCUUUGAAACUGAGAAACUUGAGUGCAGGAGAGGAGAGUAGAAUUCCUAGUGUAGCGGUGAAAUGCGUAGAUAUUAGGAGGAACACCAGUUGCGAAGGCGGCUCUCUGGACUGUAACUGACACUGAGGCACGAAAGCGUGGGGAGCAAACAGGAUUAGAUACCCGCGUAGUCCCUGAG